ACUUCUAAAUUUUGUCUGGGAAGAAGCUUUGAUAUUUGCUCCAAAAGUCUCCUCAGCUGUGUGUAGAUCCUGUGGCAUUUGGUGUGGAGAGUUGAAGCUGGUCAGCUGGGACGUUGGCCAUUUCAGGCCUCCACGUGCCUUCGGCUGCAGGAGCUGCUACAGCUCACCCAGCUAGCCUGAUGGUUAGCUGCAGUGAACCUUCAGCAGUUUUCAUGCCUGUGCGGCUUCAAGAUUGGAUUACUGCAGUACAUAGGGACGGAGGAGCUAUAGCUAUGGCAACCGAUGUCAGAUAGAUAAUUGGCAGCGUGAGUUACAGAACCUCGCAGGAUGUGCUGCAG
rnacentral:lncRNA from 1 species